ensembl:lncRNA
CAGAAUCACAUAAUUGCAGGAAGGAAUCUCUAGAGAUCAUCAAGUCCAACUCGCCUGCAGGUUCCCUAAAGUAGGUUGCACAGCUAAAAGCGGAAGAAUUCCCAUGACUCUGUGAUUGAUCUGGAAGGUUUCUUCUCCUUCUUCUGUGUAUGGAUAUCCCACACUUGCUUACAGUCCUUUGAGUUGCCAAGCACCUUAUCUCUGAUUUCAGUGAAAGAGCCUGAAGCAAUACCCUGAAGUAUUCACUGUAUCCAAGGACCAUAUUUCAGUUUGUUCAUUUGUUUUUCAAGAGCCUGAGCGUUCGAGAGAAGUAAAAUGCCAUGUAUGGUAGCAGUAUGUUCACUCACUCUUGUCAUACGUGCUUUCAAGACUCAUUUGACUUUGCUCAUUGACUCUGAACUGUGGUUACAACUACCACACAUAAUCACCAGGGAUCUACACUGCAGCAUCCCCAUGCAAGUCGAUUCUUACUGCUCUGCUGCAUCUUAGCUUUCAGGAUGAAAACUUAUUCAGCAUUUCUUCUGGCCUCAUAUUUGAAGGAAUGCUCUUAUGCAUACAAUUGUUUUUAGAGAAAAUGAAGAUUAAGAUUUUUACUAGGAAAAUACUAAACCUGCAUGUCAGGCUUCUGUGUGGGUACAUUUUAUGUCUCGCUUCCUUGUAGAGUACGUGUCAUCUGAUGACUUUAACUAUUCCCUUUCUACAUCAGUCUCUGACACUGCUAACACUAUGUUAUUUAGUUUACUCCUGUAAAUGAAACACUGAGCCCUUUUGAAGUGAAUGGAAAAAAAAAAAAAAAAAAAAGCCUUCCUAUUUUUAAUGUGAGUUAUUGUCUUUCAGUAAGGGUACUAAUUGGAUCUUUGUGCUACCAGCAAGUGCUGUCCUUUGAUUUGAAAAGUGAGCUUCAAAACGCAGAUGCUCUUGCUAUUAUAUUCUGCUGAAGGAUCUGAACAUUUUACUCUGAGAACAGCAUUAAAUUAAAAAACAAAAAACGAACAAACAAAAAAAACACAACUAGUAAUAUAUCCCAUUGGUCUGCUCUGAAAUCAUUUGUACAGUACAAAUUAAUAUUUGUACAGUGAAGCACUUUUGCAUUCUUGGAUGAAAGACGAUAUGUUUAAAAGCAAAGUAUUAAAAUUCAUCUCUGCAAUGAUUUUCUAAAGAAAAAACUGAGCAAUUCAGUUUAAUUAGUCAACUAAUAAAAAAAAUUAAAAAUGCUUAAUAAUCUGUAAUUUACAUUUCUCGGUGGAAACCAAUAUUAUGCCUAGAUUACAGUCAGGAUAAUAUCAUUAGUAGAAUGACUGACUCAAAUUAAUCAUGACUGAAGAUCUGAUUACUAUAAGGGAUCAUACUACUAUCACAGUCUUUAUGUACUUUCUCCUUUUAUCUUCUUAUUACAGCACCAAUUUUUUCCCUCUGUGCAGAAAGUGUACAUGAUUUUCACUUGCCAGUGUCUUAAAACUGCUGCUUUGAUAUUAUAAUGCACAUCUUGUGAAUGACGGGCCUCAAAAUAAUUCUAUUCUUACAAAGAAGAAACUGAAGACAAGGACAACUGUUUUUAAUAAUAUUAUUUACAAGGUGCUAAUGUGCAAUUUGUUGCCUGUCAAAACAGUGGGAAUUAUGUUCUCAUUCUGUGUUAAAUAUAAUUAGCUAAUACUUUCUAGAGGACAUGCAGACAGAAUAGGUAUCUCAUAUUUUAUAGCUGUGUUACUGAUUUCAUUAUUUGUCUUCAUUUUUUUUUCUCUCUCUCAGAACACAAGAUUUUAAGAUAUGUCUCCGAGAUGCUCAAAUGAAAUCUACUAUAAAGAAGUUGAGUUUUCUCUUUAAGGGAAUUAACGUUCUGUAUAAAAAAGCAUCAAGAAAGAUGUUUUAAAGGAGAUAACUGUGAAUUAGGUUGUGCAUAAUUAAUUUUUACAUAAUUUUCAUUCUGGGAUUAAAAUUGUUAAAAAAAUAUAUGUAUCACUUUCAGACCUUUAUUGCUUCGAAAGCAUUUUUUCCCACCAAACCAAAUUCUGUAUAAUAUAUCAUAAAUGUGUUUCUUUUGGCUAGCUAAAUUAGUUUACAGCUUACUGAAAUGUUAUUUUACCAUCUCUGUGUAUCAAAAGGGGCUGUACAAGCCUAUAGUAAAAAGAAAACCUACUCCAAAGUUUACAGUCAAAUGACAAGAUGAGGAAGGUUCAUCAAACAAAAAGUUGAAGGAGGAUAAGAAAACAUCCUGUUGACAUGCCACAUUUUCUGGCAUAGAAAAGUUAUGAGUACAGUUUGUAGCAAAUCAGACCACUUGUACUCUUUUAACUUCAUCCACCCCAGGGAGUGAUAUAUGGAAGCCAGCCUCCAAAACUGCCCCCUCUAAGACAGAUUUUUAGCCGCUUUUGCAUGAGUGGUUCUUGGUAUUAGAUUUUUUCUGGUCCCUGUAUAGAUUAUACAAUGGUUUAUUCAUAAAUAUAUACAAACAUGUAUAUAUAAAUAUAUACAUUUCUGUAUGUGUGUACAAGGGUUUGCAUAUGUGUAUGUAUUAAUGGGUGGGCUGAGGAGGGGACUUCAAAGUGUCUGAAGUAACGAGACAACGGUGUUGCAGCCCACCUGAGAGGCUUUUUAAGGCAUGGAAAUGUGCCUAUAUGUCACAUUGGUAGAGUUAUCAAAGACACGGUGUUGUGCCAAAAAAUCCCAAGCCUGGUAGGAAGGAAUGCUAAGGGCUGGAGAAUCAAAGCUCCUCUGAUCUAUUUGAGAUACCUACUGAAUGAGAGCGCUAUCCACUGAGCCAUGGUUGGAUUUAACUUGCUAGGCAAGUACUUGUGUCAAAAGAGAACCUGGGAAUGAACUAACAUUUGUAGCAUUUAUACAUAUAUAACUGACAGUCUAUACACUAAGACCAAAACUAAACUGGAGAGAGAACUUAACUAAUAUCCAAAUAACAUUAACAAGCUCAAAAAAAAAUUAGUCAGGCAUUUCUAUAAGGAUACACUAACACAGCAAGAAACACUGCGCUUUUUUUUUUUUUUUUUUUUUUUUUUCCCAAUGUGUGGAAUUAACCUUACUUAGAUUCAAACAUUUAAUAAUAAUCUUCCCAUACACCUUUUGAAAUUUUGUAAUUGUAAAACCUGAUCUAAGUUGACUAUGGAGUCUUUCUGGAGACUCUUUCACAUGAGAAUGAAAUUGUCUCCGGAGUAGCCUACUUUGCUGUACUAACUAUAGAGAAAUCUAAAGCAACUUGUCAUAAUUAAGUCCUUCCUUUUAGGUAUCUAUAGAUGGUGGUGUACCUAAAUAAGAUUAAUUUGGGCAAGAACUCUCAGUUUUGCUUCUCUUUGCAUCUCAGUAAUGAUAACAUUAUGCAAAUUACAAUUUCUAGCAAUGAUGGCCAUUUCAAGGCAAAAACAAGACAAAAAGUAUCAAAAAAUGGAGUUGAGAGAUGAUGUCAAUGGUUUAUGGGCUGGUUUGUCUCAGUUUCGUGACUAGCAGGGCAGAGGGACUGGCAGAUCUGAGCCUCUGGAAAAGGAUAAGGGAAAGGGAUAGAGAUAUGGGCCCCAAAAUAAAACAGCAGCAAUGAUCUGAGGAGAAACAAAGUAAUUUAUUAAAUAAGAUAUCAGAGUGCAAGAUAACACACUGUAAUACAAUAUAAUACAAUAUAAUGAGAAUUGGAGCUAAUAAAUCAAAUAUAAUGAGAGUGUCCAAAAGCCGAAGGCAUUACUUUAAUGAUGAGGCAAGACAUGCAGUCGGGACAAGCAGAAGGGAGUAGAGCCAGACGGUCAAAAGGGAACUCAGGUGACCUACCAAGGUCUUAAUCUGUUCCCCCGAGCAGAAAUGAUAAUGGAACAGCAAACAUUCCUCUGGGGAAUGUAUAGUUCUCUUCUGGGACAGGUACCUGGACCUGGAGCAUUAACUCUUUAACCCCCCAUGCACUACGUGAUAUUAUGAUGUGCAAAACCAAUAACCAAAAAUCAUAAAACCAUGACAGAUAGGUCUGCAGCAACAGAAAGAACUGAGAAGUUGUCUCAGCUUUUAUUAAAGUAGUACAGAUCUUGCCUUUUAGGCACAUACCUGUAUGAUUACAGAUCAUGUGAUCACGCAAAACAGAAAAGAGGACUCUAUGUAGCCAAGAGAAAAAGAAUAAAGGAUAAAGGAAAUGGGGAAAGAGGAAAUCUGAUACUGCAGUUUAAAUGCUAGACCAUAAACUUAACAGAGAGGCAGUAAUUAUAAAAUCUGAUCUUGGGGAUUUAAGGAAUUUUACAUUAGAUGUCAGUGGAUUGAAUGCUGAAGUAGUCCAAAGAAAAGAGGCUAAGAAAGUUCUGAGGUGACCUGAUUGAGGCCUUUGAGUCUAUAAAAUGGAGCUACAGGAAAGAAGGGGUCAGACACUUUUAAGAGAAUAUUUCUGGCUGAUGGACAAGUACGGGCAAGUCUUAGACCUUUGUCUCAAAGCUUGCUGUUGGACAACUCCAACAGAUGGACAAGUCCAAGAAAUCUUUUAUCUGAAGACUAGCAGGCCAGGGAAACAAGCAGCCACCAGAGAUAAGCAGCUGCUAAAUGGCCGGUGAGAAAUUUUUUGUGGGCACAUCUUGAGGGAGAUAAUCAUCCAGAGAACCUGCAUGCCCACUGGUGCUGCACGUGACCUUAACCUAAGUGCCCAGGAAUGCCAUGCUGGCAGAAGAGAAUGAAAAAAGGCACCAACAAUCAAGGAGGGGUGUGCCAGAUAUUGGAAGACUUGUGGGUUGAAACUUGCCUGCUGCUUGCUUCUCCUGCGCCUUCUACCGGAUACCUGGAAUUGCUGUUGGUCACCUACUGCUUACCUGCUUGCUGUCUAAGGCCAGCCAUUCUGCUGCUGCUUCUCCCUGCACCUUUACUCCUGCAUCAGCCUUAGACCGUCAAAACAGUAUGCACAACAGACACCAAUGGAUCCUAGGUGGUGACUAUCCCCACUUUACAUAAUUAUUGCUUUUUUCAUGUCUUUCCUAUCGCCCACUUUCCCUUCUUCAUCACCCUAAUUCAUAAUAAUUGCCAGCUUUUCCCUCCCCAAAACUUUAAUUGACAGUAAACUGGUUGGACAACAUUUGACCUCACUUGUUUCUCAAUCUCACUCCAGGUAUAUAAAAAAAUGUCUCCUCUAGCUCUGAUAAAUGGAGUGAGACAACUCUUUAGCAGGGUCUGUUGUGACAGGACAAGGAGAAAGGUUUCAAGCUUGAAGACAGUAGAUUUACGCUGGACAUAAGGAAAAAAUGAGAGUGGUGAGGGACUGGAACAUAUUGCCCAAAGAUGUAGUAGAUGCCCCAUCCUUGUAGACUUUCAAGGCCAGGCUGGACCAGGCUCUGAGAUCUAGCUGUGGAUGUCCCUGUUCACUGUGGGUGAGUUGGACUAGAUUACCUUAAAGGUCCCUUCCAACUCUGAGGAUUCUAUGAUUAUAUGGUUUUAUGGUGUUGGUAGAUGCUCGCCUGAACAUGAGUGAGUAAUAUUCCCAGGAGCCCAAGAAGGCCAAUGGCGUCCUGGCUUGUAUCAGCAAUAGUGCAACAAGUAGGGCCAGGGAGGUAAAUCUGUGAUUCUGUCCUUGUCCCCCUGUACUCAGCUCUGCUGACGCCUCACUUCGAGUACUGUGUUCAGUUUCAGGCUCCUUGCUAAAAGAAAAACAUUGAGGACCUGGAGUGUGUCCAGAGAAGGGCAACAAAGCUGGUGAAGGGUCUGGAACACAAAUCUUAUGUGGAGUGGCUGAGAGAACUGAGUUUAGACUGGAAAAGAGGAGGCUAAAGGGUGACCUUAUCAGUAGCUCUCUACAACUACCUGACAGGAGGUUGUGGUGAGGUGGGGUCAGCCUCUUUUCCCAGAUAACAGUGAUACGACAAAAGGGAACAGCCUCAAGGUGCACCAGGGUAGGUUCAGAUUGUAUAUUAGCAAGAAUUUCUUCUCAGAAAGAGUAGUGAGGGGUUGGAAAUGGCUGCCCAGGGAGGUGGUAGAGUUGCCAUCCCUGGAGGUGUUUAAGGAAAGGGUAAUAGUGUACUUACAGGCAUGGCUUAGUGAGCAAUAUUGGUAGUAGGUGAAUGGUGGGACUAGAUGAUUUUAGAGGUCUUUUCCAACCUUAAUAAAUCUAUGAUUCUGUGAUAUUAUUUUUAUGCUUUAUAUGUACCUUAAAGAAUACAAAAUGACUGUCAACUAAAAAAAAAAAAUAAAAAAUAGAGACAAUAUUUUUGUUUUCAAAUAGAUUGUAUAUACCAACUCACAGUGAUACUCUGGAGUGAAAAUUAUCUGUAUUUCUGAG